GAUGAACGCUAGCGGCAGGCUUAAUACACGCAAGUCGAGGGGCAGCAUGAUUGUAGCAAUACAAUUGAUGGCGACCGGCAAACGGGUGCGGAACACGUACACAACCUCCCAAUAAGUGGGGAAUAGCCCAGAGAAAUUUGGAUUAAUACCCCGUAACAUAACGAUGUGGCAUCACAUUGUUAUUAUAGAUUUUUCGCUUAUUGAUUGGUGUGCGGCUGAUUAGAUAGUUGGCGGGGUAACGGCCCACCAAGUCUACGAUCAGUAGCUGAUGUGAGAGCAUGAUCAGCCACACGGGCACUGAGACACGGGCCCGACUCCUACGGGAGGCAGCAGUGGGGAAUAUUGGACAAUGGGGGGAACCCUGAUCCAGCCAUGCCGCGUGUGUGAAGAAGGCCUUAUGGUUGUAAAGCACUUUAAGCGAGGAGGAAUGGCUCCGGGUUAAUACCCUUGAGCAUAGACGUUACUCGCAGAAUAAGCACCGGCUAGCUCUGUGCCAGCAGCCGCCGUAAUAC
rnacentral:rRNA from 1 species